AUGAUCAAGCAAUCUCUCUGCUCAUCAAAGAUUUUUUUUUUUUUGCGGGGUUCAUCAAAGAUUUAUUUGCCUGGAAUGGAUACAACAAACAUACAAUCAAGCUGCAACAACACGCAGCAAGACGAGAAAAGGAGGCGCAUCUCCAAUCUCCAUCUCCCCUAUCCACAAACAACGCAAGGGGGAUCGAUCACAACAGCAAAACGCUCCUCCCUACAUGAAGCUGAACGAACAACAACGGACACGAACCAAGAAGUGAUGAAUGAGGGAACUCCAUGGGAGGGAGACGACGGCCUCUCCCCCUACGGCGUGGGGAAGAAGAACGUCAUCUCGCCUCUGGGAACGAUGCUUCAACACCAAAGAUACUUAUACUCCAUCCACGUCCCUUCGGAGGCUCAGCCCGCUCCAAUUUGA
rnacentral:rRNA from 1 species